GACGAACGCUGGCGGCGUGCCUAACACAUGCAAGUCGAACGGGGGUAUUUAUUUCGAUGAAUACCUUAGUGGCGAACGGGUGAGUAACGCGUGAGCAACCUAUCCUUAAGAGGGGGAUAACAUCUGGAAACAGAUGCUAAUACCGCAUAAGACCACACUGCCGCAUGGCAGAGGGGUCAAAGGAGCAAUCCGUUUAAGGAGGGGCUCGCGUCCCAUUAGAUAGUUGGUGAGGUAACAGCUCACCAAGUCAGCGAUGGGUAGCCGAGCUGAGAGGCUGAUCGGCCACACUGGAACUGAGACACGGUCCAGACUCCUACGGGAGGCAGCAGUGGGGAAUAUUGGGCAAUGGGGGGAACCCUGACCCCAGCAACGCCGCGUGAGGGAAGAAGGCCUCGGUUGUAACUCUGUCAUUAGGAGAAGAAGUAGACGGUACCUAAUGAGGAAGCCCGGCGUAACUACGUGCCAGCAGCCGCGGUAACUGUAGUCGU
rnacentral:rRNA from 1 species